GACGAACGCUGGCGGCGUGCUUAACACAUGCAAGUCGAACGAGUGGCGAACGGGUGAGUAAUACGUGGGUAACCUGCCCUCCUUUUUGGGAUAAGCCUUGGAAACGGGGUCUAAUACCGAAUACUGAUGGAUGGACCCGCGGUGCAUUAGCUAGUUGGUGAGGUAACGGUCACCAAGGCCCGAUGCAUAGCCGGCCUGAGAGGGCGACCGGCCACAUUGGGACUGAGAUACGGCCCAAACUCCUACGGGAGGCAGCAGUGGGGAAUAUUGCACAAUGGGGGAAACCCUGAUGCAGCAACGCCGCGUGCGGGAGGACGGCCUUCGGGUUGUAAACCGCUUUCAGCCAUGACGCGGUAGUGGCAGAAGAAGCACCGGCUAACUACGUGCCAGCAGCCGCGGUAAUUC
rnacentral:rRNA from 1 species